UUCCAAGUCAAAGGACUGUGCUGAGUUUAUAAUAGCCAAAGCGAUAAAUGGUGAAAAUGCUGCUCACCGGUCAGAAAAGUUCAUUGCCAUGGCAACCCGAACGAAGCAGGAAUACUUGAAAGACCUAGCAACCAACUAUGUUACUACGACAUCACUUGAUUCUGGCCCCACCAAAUUCAGCAAGUUUUCUCUCAGUACUAAACGCAAGGAUAAGCCUCGGCCAAAGCUCAUCACCGACGCCUUUGUAAAGGGAGCAUUAGUGUGGCAA